rnacentral:rRNA from 1 species
UACGUAGGGUGCAAGCGUUAAUCGGAAUUACUGGGCGUAAAGCGUGCGCAGGCGGUUUUGUAAGUCAGAUGUGAAAUCCCCGGGCUCAACCUGGGAAUUGCGAUGGAGACUGCAAGGCUAGAAUCUGGCAGAGGGGGGUAGAAUUCCACGUGUAGCAGUGAAAUGCGUAGAGAUGUGGAGGAACACCGAUGGCGAAGGCAGCCCCCUGGGUCAAGAUUGACGCUCAUGCACGAAAGCGUGGGGAGCAAACAGG